AAUGAUGCCUGCAAGGUUUCUGAAAGAUUUUUUGGAAAUAUUUUACGAAACUUUCGCUGCAAAAUUUCAAAACUUAUCGUGUUAUGUGGGAAGUGAGGUCUUCAAGUGAGGUCUUCAAGUGAGGUCUUCAAGUGAGGUCUUAAAGUGAAGAAAUGUUUGUGACCAUUUGUGCGGUGAUAUGGAUCAAGACACGUAAAGUAGACGGAUGAUGCAAAUGAGUUAACGUGAACAAAAGUUUAAAAUUUUAUAAAUGUUUUUUAUAAAUGCUGGAACUCUCCUAUGAUGAGGUCGAUGUCUUUUCAGUGAGGUCUUCAAAUGUUUAAGCAAAAGUUAAAAAUUUCAUAAAUAUUUAACCUUUUGAGCGCUAUGAACGCAUAUAUUUUAAAAUAAAAAUUCAGUCUGUUAAACUUGUGCUCUUUUGUAAAAAAAUAUGCAGCCCAUGAUGUGUUUCUUCAUAAAAAAAAUAGACAAUCCACAGAGUGUUUCUUCAUAAAAAGCGGGCAGACAAUGUUGGACAACGCAGCAUUCAAAGGAUUAAUUCUAUGAUGAGUUCGGUGACUCUUCAAUGAGGUCUUCAAAUAAAUAAAUCCUCAAACUUUAACAAGGAGACAUUACAGCUACCUACCUUUCUUCAAUCGAUUGGAUACCUUGAACACGUGAUAAAAAAAUAUCUGUAAAAAA